rnacentral:rRNA from 1 species
CGAGUGGCGGACGGGUGAGUAAUGUCUGGGAAACUGCCUGAUGGAGGGGGAUAACUACUGGAAACGGUAGCUAAUACCGCAUAACGUCGCAAGACCAAAGAGGGGGACCUCGGGCCUCUUGCCAUCGGAUGUGCCCAGAUGGGAUUAGCUAGUAGGUGGGGUAACGGCUCACCUAGGCGACGAUCCCUAGCUGGUCUGAGAGGAUGACCAGCCACACUGGAACUGAGACACGGUCCAGACUCCUACGGGAGGCAGCAUG